rnacentral:rRNA from 1 species
GACGAACGCUGGCGGCGUGCUUAACACAUGCAAGUCGAACGGUGAAGGGGUCUGCUUUUGUGGGCCCUGGAUGAGUGGCGAACGGGUGAGUAACACGUGAGUAACCUGCCCCCUUCUUCUGGAUAACCGCAUGAAAGCGUGGCUAAUACGGGAUAUUCUGGGUCUGUCGCAUGAUGGGUCUGGGAAAGAUUGCGCCUUUGGGUGUUUUUGGUGGGGGAUGGGCUCGCGGCCUAUCAGCUUGUUGGUGGGGUGAUGGCCUACCAAGGCGGUGACGGGUAGCCGGCGUGAGAGGGUGGGCGGUCACACUGGGACUGAGACACGGCCCAGACGCCUACGGGAGGCAGCAGUGGGGAAUAUUGCACAAUGGGCGCAAGCCUGAUGCAGCGACGCCGCGUGAGGGAUGGAGGCCUUCGGGUUGUAAACCUCUUUCGCCAGUGAAGCAGGCCUGCUCCUUGUGGGUGGGUUGACGGUAGCUGGAUAAGAAGCGCCGGCUAACUACGUG